rnacentral:rRNA from 1 species
AGUGAACGCUGGCGGUAGGCCUAACACAUGCAAGUCGAACGGCAGCACAGUAAGAGCUUGCUCUUACGGGUGGCGAGUGGCGGACGGGUGAGGAAUACAUCGGAAUCUACUUUUUUGUGGGGGAUAACGUAGGGAAACUUACGCUAAUACCGCAUACGACCUACGGGUGAAAGCAGGGGAUCUUCGGACCUUGCGCGAUUGAAUGAGCCGAUGUCGGAUUAGCUAGUUGGCGGGGUAAGGUCCCACCAAGGCGACGAUCCGUAGCUGGUCUGAGAGGAUGAUCAGCCACACUGGAACUGAGACACGGUCCAGACUCCUACGGGAGGCAGCAGUGGGGAAUAUUGGACAAUGGGCGCAAGCCUGAUCCAGCCAUACCGCGUGGGUGAAGAAGGCCUUCGGGUUGUAAAGCCCUUUUGUUGGGAAAGAAAAGCAGCAGGUUAAUACCCCGCUGUUCUGACGGUACCCAAAGAAUAAGCACCGGCUAACUUCGUG